rnacentral:rRNA from 1 species
GGUUAAGUUAACAAGGGCGCAUGGUGAAUGCCUUGGCACUAGGAGCCGAUGAAGGACGGGACUAACACCGAUAUGCUUCGGGGAGCUGUACGUAAGCUAUGAUCCGGAGAUUUCCGAAUGGGGCAACCCAGCAGUUUUAAUCAACUGUUACCACUAGAUGAAUUCAUAGUCUAGUUGGAGGUAAACGCUGUGAACUGAAACAUCUCAUUAGCAGCAGGAAUAUAAAGAAAUUUCGAUUCCCUAAGUAGCGGCGAGCGAACGGGGAACAGCCCAAACCAAAGUGCUUGCACUUUGGGGUUGUAGGACUGAACAUUUGAGUUACCAAAGAACUUGAUAGUCGAAGGAUUUGGGAAAAUCCGCCAUAGAUGGUGAUAGCCCAGUAGAUUAAAUCAAAUUCUCUCAGUUCAGGAUCCUGAGUACGGCGGAACACGUGAAAUUCCGUCGGAAUCCGGGAGGACCAUCUCCCAAGGCUAAAUACUACCUAGUGACCGAUAGUGAACCAGUACCGUGAGGGAAAGGUGAAAAGCACCCCGGGAGGGGAGUGAAAUAGUUCCUGAAACCAUGUGCCUACAAUAAGUCAGAGCGCGUUAAUGCGUGAUGGCGUGCCUUUUGUAGAAUGAACCGGCGAGUUAUGAUCCCGUGCAAGGUUAAGACUAAAAAGUCGGAGCCGUAGCGAAAGCGAGUCUGAAAUGGGCGUUUUGAGUACGAGGUUAUAGACCCGAAACCAGGUGACCUAUCCAUGUCCAGGUUGAAGGUGCGGUAAAACGCACUGGAGGACCGAACCCGUGUAAGUUGAAAAUUGCUGGGAUGAGGUGUGGAUAGCGGUGAAAUUCCAAACGAACUUGGAGAUAGCUGGUUCUCUCCGAAAUAGCUUUAGGGCUAGCCUCGGAAUUAGGAUCAUGGAGGUAGAGCACUAUUUGGACUAGGGGCCCGUCUUGGGUUACUGAAUUCAGAUAAACUCCGAAUGCCAUUGAUUCAUAUCCGGGAGUCAGACGAUGAGUGAUAAGAUCCACCGUCGAAAGGGGAACAGCCCAGACCAUCAGUUAAGGUCCCUAAAUGUAUGCUAAGUGGAAAAGGAUGUGGAGUUGCAUAGACAACUAGGAUGUUGGCUCAGAAGCAGCCACCAUUUAAAGAGUGCGUAAUAGCUCACUAGUCGAGUGAUCCUGCGCCGAAAAUGUACCGGGGCUAAGCAUACUACCGAAACCAUGGAUGCGACCAUUAGGUCGCGUGAUAGGAGAGCGUUCUAAGGGCGGUGAAGCAAGAUCGUGAGGACUUGUGGAGCGCUUAGAAGUGAGAAUGCCGGUAUGAGUAGCGAAAGAUAGGUGAGAAUCCUAUCCACCGAAUGACUAAGGUUUCCUGGGGAAGGCUCGUCCUCCCAGGGUUAGUCGGGACCUAAGUCGAGGCCGAGAGGCGUAGACGAUGGAUAACAGGUUGAGAUUCCUGUACUAGUUAAGUGCGUUUGAGCAAUGGAGGGACGCAGGAGGCUAAGAUGUGCAUUCUGUUGGAUUAGAAUGUCCAAGCAGUAAGUUUUGUGAAGAGUCAAAUGCUUUUCACUUUAAGGACAAGCUGUGAUGGGGAGCGAAAUUUAGUAGCGAAGCGUCUGAUGUCACACUGCCGAGAAAAGCUUCUAGUGAGUACUUAACUACCCGUACCGCAAACCGACACAGGUAGUCGAGGAGAGAAUCCUAAGGUGAGCGAGUGAACUCUCGUUAAGGAACUCGGCAAAAUGACCCCGUAACUUCGGGAGAAGGGGUGCUGAUCGCAAGAUCAGCCGCAGUGAAUAGGCCCAGGCGACUGUUUAUCAAAAACACAGGUCUCUGCAAAAUCGUAAGAUGACGUAUAGGGGCUGACGCCUGCCCGGUGCUGGAAGGUUAAAAGGAUGGGUUAGCUUCGGCGAAGCUCAGAAUUGAAGCCCCAGUAAACGGCGGCCGUAACUAUAACGGUCCUAAGGUAGCGAAAUUCCUUGUCGGGUAAGUUCCGACCCGCACGAAAGGCGUAACGAUCUGGGCACUGUCUCAACGAGAGACUCGGUGAAAUUAUAUUGUCCGUGAAGAUGCGGACUACCCGCGACAGGACGGAAAGACCCCAUGGAGCUUUACUGUAGCUUGAUAUUGAGUGUUUGUACAGCUUGUACAGGAUAGGUAGGAGCCAUAGAAACCGGAACGCUAGUUUCGGUGGAGGCGUUGGUGGGAUACUACCCUCGCUGUAUGACCACUCUAACCCGCACCACUAAUCGUGGUGGGAGACAGUGUCAGGUGGGCAGUUUGACUGGGGCGGUCGCCUCCUAAAAAGUAACGGAGGCGCCCAAAGGUUCCCUCAGAAUGGUUGGAAAUCAUUCGCAGAGUGUAAAGGCACAAGGGAGCUUGACUGCGAGACAGACAGGUCGAGCAGGGACGAAAGUCGGGCUUAGUGAUCCGGUGGUACCGUAUGGAAGGGCCAUCGCUCAACGGAUAAAAGCUACCCUGGGGAUAACAGGCUUAUCUCCCCCAAGAGUCCACAUCGACGGGGAGGUUUGGCACCUCGAUGUCGGCUCAUCGCAUCCUGGGGCUGUAGUCGGUCCCAAGGGUUGGGCUGUUCGCCCAUUAAAGCGGUACGCGAGCUGGGUUCAGAACGUCGUGAGACAGUUCGGUCCCUAUCCGUCGCGGGCGUAGGAAAUUUGAGAGGACCUGUCCUUAGUACGAGAGGACCGGGAUGGACAUACCUCUGGUGUACCAGUUGUGCCGCCAGGCGCAUCGCUGGGUAGCUACGUAUGGAUGUGAUAAACGCUGAAAGCAUCUAAGUGUGAAACACACCUCGAGAUGAGAUUUCCCAUUCCUUUAUGGAAGUAAGACCCCUGAAAGAUGAUCAGGUAGAUAGGUUAGAAGUGGCAGUGCGGUGACGCAUGAAGCGGACUAAUACUAAUCGGUCGAGGACUUAACCAA